CAAAUGACUUGGAGUUUCUAAACACCCCCCGCCCCCAACACAAAUGGAGACCCAAGCGAAGACUCCGAAGUGAAACUUUUCAGAAGAUCAACUUGAAAGAAUUUUGUAUUCAUAACAAGGGUGCAGAUUUUAACAUCAAAUUUAAACACCCAAGAAUUUACGCCUCCAUCAAGAACAUCACUUGAUAAAAGGGAUCUAUAUACAAAAGUACAGUGCAAAUAAAAUGGUCAAAGUCCUGUUUUCGCUAA